rnacentral:sRNA from 1 species
UUCUAGCCCUGAUGGAAGCGGCAUCCUUGCGGCGAGUGAGGCGGCGGAGCGCAGCGGAGCCGUCCGAGCGAGCUCGUCAAGAUACAGCGAACAGCAGGAAUAGCU